rnacentral:tRNA from 1 species
GGCUCCGUGCCCGACCGGUAAUGGGGGCAGUUUGCAAAACUGUUGUAUGUGGGUUCAAAUCCCACCGGGGCCU